rnacentral:rRNA from 1 species
GAUGAACGCUAGCGGCAGGCCUAAUACAUGCAAGUCGGACGGUAGACGAUCUUUCGGGAUUGUUGAGAGUGGCGCACGGGUGCGUAACGCGUAUGCAACCUACUUAUACUGUGGGAUAGCCCGGGAAACCCGGAUUAAUACCGCAUGGUACCAUUAGAAGGCAUCUGAAGAUGGUUAAAGCCCCGGCAUCUGUCGGGGCGGUAUAAGAUGGGCAUGCGUAGGAUUAGCUGGUUGGCGGGGUAACGGCCCACCAAGGCGACGAUCCUUAGGGGUUCUGAGAGGAAGGUCCCCCACACUGGCACUGAGAUACGGGCCAGACUCCUACGGGAGGCAGCAGUAGGGAAUAUUGGGCAAUGGCCGGAAGGCUGACCCAGCCAUGCCGCGUGCAGGAAGAAGGCGUUAUGCGUUGUAAACUGCUUUUGCAGGGGAAUAAAGUGAGCCACGUGUGG